rnacentral:lncRNA from 1 species
CUAUGGAGGAAGCUACCUCGGUCUCCAAGCAGUUGUCUGUAAACAGCGCUGUGUGCUGGGACAAGGGAAAUGAAAUCCCAAGCUGUGUGUCUGCUAAAGGAGAAUGUGCUCCAGCUCUUCUUUGUCUGGGAAGCAGACAGGAAGGUGCCUUUCAGCCUGUGAUGGUUGAGAAUAGUGCAGUUGUCUCAGAGUUGGUUCUGGAUUCAACUAAAGCCCAGGAAGGAAAUGGUCCUAAGUUUGUGUCUGCUGGGGAGAAUGGCACUGUAACUAGGUUGCAUCCAGUUAGUGUCUUAGCAAAAUCCCAGAGACCAGACAAUUCUGGUGCUUGUAUUUUGCCUGUUGCUAAUGUGCAGUUGGAAAAGGGUGUAGCAACUCUGUCUGAUCAGGGUAAUAUCCUAGCCAGGGCACAAGGAAAACAUGAAGGUAAUUUGAUGGUGUCACCUACUGACAAUUUGACAACUUGUCGCAAGAAGGAAAAGAUUCCUGAGUUUGUGUGGGGCAAAGGGAAGGAGAAUGCUUCUGACCUUUCAUCUAGUGAGUCUAUGGGUUUGCCUGAAAGGGGAUUGUGUAGGAAUCUGCCUGAUGGGCCAAAGGUGAUCCUGGAUGUAAGUAAGACCCAGAAAAAGUCUGUUGCUGCUCAGGAAAGUGUGCCUUUAGAGCAAGCCCUAGGUGAAGAGGGUAAGGGCAGAAUUUCUGGGAAGGGUGAAUUGUUGCUUAGAAAAGUUGCUAGGGAAAGGAACCCUCAUGGUAAUCUGUGCAAGCAGCUUGAUACAGCUAAAGGGUGUGAAAGUGAUUUAAUCAAGGAAAUUUUCAGUUCCUAACAGCCAGAAAUUUUCUGUUGUAAAUGGAUCCACCGACUUUCCUUUUGAAAGGUCUAGUGUGGAUAGCUUUGAAAAGGUCUCAAAUGGAGUGAAAGCUGUUAAGAAAGUUGAACAGUCCUAUAACCAAGUGGCUGUGUUUGGCUAGCUUGUUGGGGGAGACAAGGUUGUUGAGAGAAUGGAAUGUCUCCAUGCUGAUUCUGUAAGUGAACAGACUGUGUCUCAGGUUCAAAGGGAAAACUGGGUAGCUGAGUCUGCAGGG